rnacentral:rRNA from 1 species
UACGGAGGUGGCAGGCGUUACUCGGAUUGAUUGGGUGUAAAGGGUUUGUAGGCGGUGCGCUAAGUCGAAUGUGAAAUCCCUUGGCUUAACCAAGGAACUGCGCUCGAAACUGGCGUGCUUGAGUGUUGGAGAGGAAAGCGGAAUUCCCGGUGUAACAGUGAAAUGUGUAGAUAUCGGGAGGAACACCAGUGGCGAAGGCGGCUUUCUGGACAACUACUGACGCUGAAAAACGAGAGCAUGGGGAGCAAACAGG